rnacentral:lncRNA from 1 species
GUAAUGAUGAUUCUGAAAAAUGCAAAAUCCCACCUUGCAAAUGUUCUAUUAGAAAAGAUAAUUAGAAAUGAGUCAUCUCUAUAUUCAUAUAUGGUAUAAUACAAAACAAAGAUGGAGCAAAUGAAGAAGAAGAGAAUGAGAAAGAAGAAGAGGAAGAAUGAGAAAGAGGAAGGUGGAGAAGGAGAAAAAAAUAAACAUUUACAGCUUGCCAGGAUGUAGGAACAAGAUGAGUAUAUUAUGCAAAGAAAUCGGUAGCACAAUAUUUGCAGUUCUUAAUGCAGUAAAGACAGGACUAGGAUGGUACAUUCUUGCACAGAGACAACUGUCCUUAAGCAACAGUGUAUGGGAACUGUUGAAUCACGGCCUGAACAUCUGAUUGACCACCUGAGGCGAGUGCUGAGUCAGCUGCAGGGGCACAGGUGAAUGCAAUUUCACCUGAGUGACCAGAAGACCCCAUUUAAGGGCUGUCCUAGAUGCCAUUUAAGGGUUGACUCCCAAGGAGGAAGGAUCUCUAUGUAGUGAUCACUCUUCUUAGAGCCCUUCUGUGAGCCCAGGAUAUGGGUAAGAUCUUUAUUUCAUUACUCCUUUGUAACGUGAUAAUCUCUCUGGUCUGAUACCUGUUUGCCAUACAAACAGCAAGGACAAUUUCCAAGUCACUUUCAGGGAUCUGUAAAUUCUUUGUAAACUUUUCAAAACACUGUUUGCUUAAGACUGCUGUGAACGAAUGGUCAUUCUACCUACCUGCAAUAGAUUACCACUCCCUGCUUCUGUUGCUUCCUUGUUUGCUCUGUGCUCUGUGUCAUGUUAUGAAGUCCUAUAUAACAAAAUACCAAGACCAAAUAUCAAACUUAUUUAUAUCCUGCUAAUUAAAUAUUUUAAUUUUUUAUAUCUGCAAUUGAAAAGUAAGUUGAAAUCAUUAAUAGACUGCUUGACUUUAAUCAGUAAGUAAAAUAAUUUCUUGAUAAGGAUUUAGACCAAAUCAGGAGGAAUGCUUCAAGAGACAUCUGUGAUAAAAGUAUCAAGCAGUUUUUCUAAUCAUGUACCAAGUUCAAGGUCUCUGAUAAGCCACCUGGCUAUACCUACACACUUCAAUAACCCCAAGCUGGUAUUACAUUGUCUAGCUAAGGAAGGUCUUGUUGCUGGGUGCUGAGUUGCUAGGCUUAUGGCUCUCUCUGUUAUGAGACACAAAAAUAUCUGAAUGUCAUGUAGGUGAAACAUGCACAGAAAGCCAUGAGGAUGGUUAUCUUAAUAAGGAAGGCUGGUAGUAACCAAUAACCUUACGAGUCAGAACCUCUGCAUUUUUAUUUCUAUUUUUUGCUUCUUUAGAGUUGUCUUUCACUUCUAAGAAGCUUCUGUGCCCAAAGUUGGCUAAAAUGCAUUCCUCAAGACUUCAGAUAUCUGCCUUUUGCAAGUAAACAUCUUCUGAAUCUCAGGCAUCAACCCUUUGUUAUUCUUAUUUUUCCAUCAUUGGGCUCAUUUGUCAUCUGGAAGAUAUCUGUUUAUUUACAUUUUAAUGCCCCUUUCCCAGAACUCUAUCUUGUUAUGUUUUUUCUUAACAUUGUUUUUCCUUACGAUAAAUUGUUGUGCUCCAAGAACAUGCUUGGCAUUAGGUCUAAAUGGACAAGCAGAGCAGUCUUUCAUGUACAGCAUAGUCUUUCUUUUAUGAAUCUAUGUCAGCUGAGUACAGCUCAUAAGUGAACCCUCCAAAUUUUCUGGCUUUACCUGUAACUCACGGCUGAACCUCUCUCUGCUCAGUGAUGAAGUGAGUAUAUUUCCUCCAUUUUUCCUUUGAAUCUCAGACAUUUUCUCUGUAUUCAUAAUGCUUCAGUAUCCCUGUAUGUUCCAACUAGAACUUCCAAAACUUCCAUCGUUAAACCAGACUGAUAUACAGCUACUUUGUUCUAGUAAUGUAAGUUCUAAUCUUUGGUACCUAGGAUGUAUCUGUCUUGUUCUUCUGUUACUAGAAAUGAAAGUAGUGAAUGGUUAAUGUAGUAUUUCCUUUUGAUUCAGAUUAUUUAUCCCCAAAGGGAACUUUGUGGACAGUCAGUUUUACUGUUUUCUCAUGAUCAUUCUAUAGCCUACACAAAUAUGAGCUAUGAUCUAAAUGGGAAUUCAAAGGUAUUGGUACAGAAUUUUGAAUACUGUUACUGCAUUGCAAAUACUCUCUGUGGGAGAUUCUGGUAUAUCUGCUUGAAGAGUUAUUAUGGCAUACCAGAACAUUUUGCUCACUCUGGACUAUUUCCAUUCCCCAGAUAGGAAAUGGGUAUAGACAAAUAUUUUAUAAAACAGGACUAAACCCCAAAAUAUGACUAGAUUAAUCCAGGAGCUGAUAUUGAUAUGGAUUUAUUUUAUGUUAUAAAGCACAUUUCAACUGGUCAGAUCUUUCUGUUACAUUUAUCCUCUUAUGGUCUAAAGAUUUUGUUUCGGUAUGAUUUUUUUUUUCAGUCUUACUGCUAUGAAAACAAAAGAAUUCACGUGACUUGGGUGUUGAAGCCAGCCAUGGUUAAUAGAUUUUUCUAGAAUCAUUUAACACUUAAGGGAUACGAAGAUUUUCAAAUUUCAGUUAAUUUUCUGUAAUGACUAAAGGGUAUUGUGGCACCUCACAGGAUUCAUGCAAGUUAGGAUAUUUAAGAAAUUAAUUAAUUGAAACUGGAUUUGACAGCAGUGUAGAGAAUCUCAGAGCCAACCUAUUGCAAAAACCCUAACAAAUUUUUAGGCAUUUUUUUGGGAAGAGCAGGGAGGGAGGUAGAGAACAGAGGGUAAAAAGAAUAACUUCAAAAUAACCUCGGUGUUGCUGAUACACAUUGUUUAGAUUUAGAAGAAUUUUAUUAUUAUUACUUUUUUAAUAGAAGUCAUCUUAAGGAGUGUUGAUUAACAAUCCUGUAGCUGAUUGACUACUAUACCCUUAAGAAUGCAACUAGGCCAUUUGAAAUUUUAUAUAUAUGGGUCAUGCAGCUUCAAUUAUCAAUGUCACUGGUGAUAAACAUCUAUAGAUUUUGUCUUUAAAAAACAGACUGGCUUUCCCGGCUGAGAAACAGUUCCUAAACUAGAUGUGGUAGUCUGUGAAGUUUAACAUGCAGCCAUGUACCACCACUGGAAAGGACAUCUUUCACAGUCCUGCUUCUUUGUAACAUCAUUGGCACUGAAAGGUAAUGACAAGUGCUGUGAAAUAGCCAUAUAAACAGCAAUAUUCUGCCUCAGCCAGUGCAUUCCAUAGACCUUACUGGUCCAUUCUGUUUUCAGCAGAAAUCCCUGCUGACUUUCAUGAGGAUUUAGCUUAAUAAAAAUGGCUGGAAUUAUAUGGUCCCUUGCCAAUAAUGAGUAUUCUUCAUUUUCAGAGUAUGUAGUAGAAAGAAAUAUAAAAAAUCAUUGUAGAUGUUAAUUGUAGGUUCCAAUUGUUUAUUAAUUGCAAUAAUCUCCUGCACAUACCCUUUUUAUUGAAUGUUAUUGUUCACUGUUAUCAAGGUUUCAAGGAAGCAAUUUUACAUAUAGGAUGAGACACUAUACAGGGUGUAUCACACUCUGCAGGUGUUAAAUUUACUGUGAGCAGCAGAGGCCACUUGAAUCUGAAAAAUUCCUUGAUUGAUUUUCAUGAAAAAUUUCCAUGGAGAAUAAGUUUUAUCUAAGCUGUGGUUGGGCUAUUCUUGAAGAAUUUCCGAUUUGUGGGCUGCAUACUAUGCAAGUUUACAACAGGGAGUUGCGGCAUGAAGCCAUACAGCAAUACUAUUUUGAGUAUAUGGAAACAAAUUCUUACCUUGACCUUGAAUAAUGUUCAAGUAGAUGGGAUAAAGAAGUUCCCUAUUUUUGUAGAUUUAAAGGUGUUGACAUUUUGGGAUCAGGAUCCAAAUAAUUACCCUUCUAAAAGAGGGGUUAGAAAUAACUUUUUAGUGAAGAAAUGUAUGUACAGUGAUGUAAACAUUUAUGAAUAAGAUUAUGAUAUCUUUCCACUUCAAAUAAAGAAAUGAGCUGGAAAUAGCUGGAAAAGUUAAGUUAUGAGUCUGUCUUUCAAUCUUCAAUAUUUCUGAACUAUAAGAACCACUCAUGACUAUUAGGAAGCUACAACUGAUGCUGCACUCAAGCCAUAAUUCAUCCAGGAGUUAACCACAUUAAUAGCUUGUAUAGUUCUGGGACUUACUCUUCACUAACUAACAGAAAAAUUAGAUCUACUAUCACAGGAUUACUGUCAGAAGAAGGAAAUUAAAUCUGAAGAAAAGCUAAAAGAAUGAACAUAAGAAACACAUCAAAAAAGAGAACCCCAGCUGACUGAAAUUGUUUUUUUCAUUAUGGGAAACUUCAUUCAUCCAUAUUUGUCUUUUACAAAGGAUUAUAAAUUGAGGACUACAAGUCCAUAAAAUUUAUAUUUUGUCAUCUGGUUUGACUGGUGGAAUUAUGUUAUUGAGAAGGAUUCUAAGAUCACAUUAGCCAGAAAAGAGUAAUGCACUACACCCACUGAAGAACAAUACAUGUUCUUAUCUACCAAGGCAGGCAAUCAAUUCUCUAGUGCAUAUAUCAAUACAGGCUAGAAGUCCACUAUUGGCAGAUGAUGUGGAUGAAGUCCUGAUACAGGCUUUACCAGCAAUGAUUACCACAGCUGAAUUCACUGUAGGUUAAACAAACAACAAACAAACAGAAAAACAAUCCAACAUAGAAAAUAAACCCACAACUGAUUAAUCCUUUAUCACUGUGAUUUCCAUAACAUGAUAAUGUGAGUUCCUUUAAAAUGUACAAGUGUGUAUAGUGCAUAACUCAAUUUUGAACUGUAAACUAACAAAAUAUUUUAUUUUAAAAUAGUGAAUACAGUGAAAUGUCUUUUAAAGUUAGGGAAGUGAAUUCAAGAAAAAUUCUAAAACUCAUCAGAACCAAAACAACAUCAAAAUUCAGGUAAGGCUCCUAAAUUACUUGUCACUUUCAUGAACUUCAGGACAAAAAAAAAGAAAUCAAGAGAGAUGGAGAGAUGUUUUAGUUCUGCUUCUACAACACCAUAAAUAAAAAGGCAGGUACAUGAAUACUUUAAUAGGACUUCUAGUUAAGAGCCAACCUAGGAAAUAUCAGGUGUCUUAUCAGUCUAGAUAUGGGGACAUACCUCUGUUCUCCAAGGAGGGGAAAAAAGAAUCAUUAUGACAGGUGAUUUAACUGAAAUUUUGAGUAGAGGUUGAUAAAUUUGGUAAUAUCCAGGGUAAAGUCUGUUAUAUCUCCCUGGGAGACAGGCCCAAAAUCUCAACCUCCCUGCAGCCUGUGGUGAUCUACCCUGACUCCUCAAAGCAAAGAUCUUAAUCAAGGGCCCCAGUGAUGCACUGCUGACUUCUAGGUCUCCCUAUAAUUUGGCCACUGUAAGUCACUGAGUUUUCCAGGAGCAGCUUAGAUACUGGUACAGUAUAAACCACAAGACUGAAGUUACUUUGGACUAGCCCAACCUUUGUUUUGAACUUCACCUUCACCUUGAGCCACUUACUCUGUUUAUGCAUUUAUGAGCUUAUUGAAGGUUCCUCUUUGAUUUUAGGGUAUAAAUCAAGACCCAUAUAUACUCUCCUCACCUAGAGGCUAUUCAAGAACUUAUAUUCAGAACUGAUUCACUGGGUUGUAAAAGAUCUGACAUGCUUUGGGUUUAAUCACAGUUCUCAGUGUUGCAAACCAUAACUAUUAGCAUUUAGCUUCACAGCUUCAGCAAGCGUGAGCCUCAGAGUAGGAUCCAAACAGCUAGUCCAUUGAAUGGAGAACUAUCAGUCUUGCUAAGGAUGAAAUGAUACAGGUACAGGUACUUUCUUACCAUUUCAUAGUCAUCUCUCAACAGAAGAUCUUACUGCCUCUGAAGUUUGUUCUGGGCUGGAACAGCCUCUACCUUCUUCACAAGCUGUUGAGCUGCUCCAAACAACAAGAAGUAUCCAUUUGAGAUGUGAGGUAACAUUCAUAUUCUUUUAUAGAAUCAUAGAAUUGAGUUGGAAUAGACCUUUGAAGGUCAUUUGGUCCAACUCUCCUGCAAUAGGCAGGGAAAUCCACAGCUACAUCAGAUUGCUCAGAGCCUGAUCCAUCCUGACCUUAGAUGUCUCAAGGUCAGACUGUCUUCUGUCCUGGGAAGAAAGAUAAAGGGAGAAAGUCUUCACACCACCUUGUACUGUAUUCUCUAUUUUAUGUGUUAUUUAGUUCAAGUUAGACACUUCCAUACUGCAGUGACAAGGAAUAAAGACGAUGUGAGUGCCCACCUCACUGGAGUUGUAUCGAUACUUUCCUGCUGUUAGAUUCAAGUAAAUGAGUUCCAUAAAAAGAACAUUUUCAUUGUCUCUCUCUUUUUUCCACUCUUUCUUUUUAUGUAGCUGUUGAAUCUGGACUAAGAUAACAAUAACAAUUAUAUGAGCAGACUGCUAAGAUUUCAAUUAUGCUGACAUUAAAUUCUUGGCUUUACAUAGCCUCUUGGUCUGUAGAAAUAUUUUCUUGUUGCAGGGGAAUUGCUAGGUCACAGCCUGAGCCAAUGGUCAAGCAUCAGGUGAGAAGGCGUGGCUAGCCCAGGAAGCUCAGGUGCGUGCAAUACAUCUGCAUAACUAGAAGGGAUGGAGCCUGGAUCCACCCCCUCCUCACCCUCAUUAGCAGCUAGUAGCCAAGGGAGUAGUAUCUUUCUGCAUAGCAAUUGCACUCCUCUUGAGCUGCCAAUGGUUACUGGAAGGGGUAAGUAACUUUUCCUUUUUUACCUGCUAUUGCUCUGUAGGGCUUGUAACCCAUUAGAAUGCACUGUCAUUGCCUUCUUUUGCCAUAUAAUUGCUAUAAGCAUAAUCAUAGGGUUCAGGCGAAACUUAAAUGUCUGGGAUCCAUAAAGGAGAACAGAUUCCUGGCACAUAGGAGAGCAUUGGUUUUGAAACUGUGGCACCUGUAACAUUGAGGAGCCCUUAAGACUGAAGCAGCAAUAAAGCAUCCACUGCUUGGAGGCUGUGAGUCUGAAUGUAGGUGCUGACAUUGAAUCCAGGACCAUUUUUGGCCUGGAGUGAAAAUGAGAGCAGAGCACCACGUGUCAUAUUUUCCUCCAGCCCUGAGUCUUACCCUUGUUGAUGAGAAGGUCAGGCAGGUUCAGCAACAGACGUUCCUUCAUAGGCAUGGUCAACCUGUCUAUAUGGGAAAAUGUCUGAAGUUAAUUUAGUCAAACCAAAGGAAACACACAUCUCAGAAUUUUCUCUGUUCAGCUUUAGCCUCUCUUUCCUUAAGAUUGGCUGGUAGCAAAAACAAAGCAGGGUAUGCAGCACAAGUGUUCAUCCAGUCUUGUUUAUCCAUGUAAUGAAACUGUAGGGUCAAUAAGUAUACAGAUUGAAGGCUAGAGAAAUUAUUGCGUUAAAAAGGAAUAAUCAGGGAUGAAUGGAAAGCUUACCCAUGUCCUGGGCUCACCAAAAAGAUUCCAAGAUGAGCAGUCUCCAGAGAGAGAUCCUUCCUCAGUGGAAGUCAGCCCUUAAAUGGGGUCUUUCAAAUGGGUCCUCGUAUAUUGCUUCUCUUAUGCCAAGUUCACAAAUGUAAUUCUGAAGGUCCUCCAUGGUGGACCACAAUCCUGUGUUUAAUGGUGUAUCUGAUUUUUUUGGCCAUACCACACGGCAUGCUACCAUUAGCCAAUCGAUUACAGAAUGAUUUUCAUUAGUAUAUUGGACACCUGCAUAUAAUCUUUGCCUAAGGGCAGGGUGCACCAUCAUGGUGGCCAAUUUAGAUAUUUCUAGCCCAUUGACCAUGACUCUUUCUGCCCCUGAAUCCCAUAGUAUUACUAACCAGGUUGGGACACUUUCGUUUGGCUUUUGCCAGAAUCGUUGUACUAUGUCCAUUAAUUCUGUUGGUGUGUAUGGCCUGGUUGUUACAUGUAAAUGUGUUUGGGCAUGGGGCCAUUGAUCGGGGGGUACCCCCUGCCUGUCUAUUUUGUACUUUCUUUGUUUUUUGAGUUAUGAUAGGAUGGAGUUCUAGGGAAUCUGUCAUAAGUAGAACCUCUAAAUCUGAUUUAGAAUUUUAAUUUCCUUGCUAACCCAGGUCCGUUGUUUCAAAAAUUGUUGCUUUCUGCAAGAAUGAUGUUAGCCACCUGUGUUAGGCCUCUGCACUCAUUGACCAAUAGCCUGAUCAGGGCCAAAUGACUGCAGAUGCACACCAAUAUGAUGAGCAGCAAAAUGGCGUUUAUUCACUACUAAACACAGUUUAUAUACAUUUUUACCUACAUAACUGUGCUGUCAUGUCCCACCCUGAUUGGUUCACACCAGAUAACAUUGUGCCUUAUUUGGCCAUUUCCACAUUCUUUUCUCAUCUUUCUUCUUCUCCUGUUUUCUCUGCAUCAAGGUCAGCACAAUAGCACUGUCUCUCUAUGCUUAGGGAGAGGCCUGUCCCGUACAUCCCGUGCCCCCGCAAGGCGCCUACUACAACAUCUCCCACUCCCUAAGCUAAAUACUACUUACACACACGCCUAACCCAUACAUCGCAAAGCAGCGCGAAACGCCUAAUCCUAAAUAUAUUUCGGCACACCAUUCCUACUACUUUUCUUCUACAAUUCUUAAGCAAACAUCAGAGCAACAGGGAAUCCUUUCCCGUGCUCGGCCAAGCCUGGUGCCUACUACAACAAAAAAUCUGUUCAUUAUCUAUUGAAAUAUUACGGAUCUGGCCUAUUGGAAGAUGCAAGGUUGUUUUUUUCCCCUGUUAAUAUACUAAGUUCCUGUUCUAAUUUCUCAAUACAGUCUUUCACUAGCUGAUUUUCAUUUUCUAAAGUAUCAGCUCUUAUUUCAGUUUAGUUUAAGGCAUUCAGCAGUGGCCAUGCCACUGUAGAGGCAGCUAACUGCCACUCUUUUGUAAUUAAUAUAUCUUCAUCUAAACCUUGAAAAUAUUCCACCAUGCAGAAUGGGGAAAUAUUCCCCAUAACUCACAGAGGACCCCAUUUUUCAAUGAUUGGAAGAUCCCAGAAAUCCUGGAAUCUGCCCAGGAACCAUUUUAUCUAGGAGGGUAGUGUUCUCCCCCUGACCCGUUUAUAAGGGUAAGACAUUAUGGUUUUAGUAUAUAUAUUUGGCCUGCCUGGCUUACCAAGUGUAGGGUCAGUAAGCAUACAGAUUGAAGGCUAGAGAAAUUAUCGUGUUAGAAAGGAAUAAUUAGGGAUGAAUGGAAAGGUUAUGCAUGUCCUGGGCUCACCAAAGACUCCAGAAGGAGCAAUCUCCAGAGAGACAUCCUUCCUCAGUGGAAGUCAGCCCUUAAAUGGGGUCUAAGAGAAGUGGAGCCUGGCUCCACCCCUUCUGAUUAUACAGGUGGAGUUGCCUUCACCUGUGCCCCCAUGGCUGACUCUGUGCUUGCCUCAGGUGGUCAGUCAGAGGUUCAGGCUGUGAUUCAACAGUUCCCAUACAGAAACUAUUUUCAAAAUAAUACUUCAGGUGAAAGCUAAGAGAUUCUCUUCUGCAGAAAGUUGCUGCUUUCUUCCAGAAGCAGCAUUUCAGCUGAGCUUCUUGCUUCACCUGGAAAUACUUGAAAGGAAAAAUUAUCCUUAUACAGUUUGGCUCUGACCCUGAAAAAUAUUAACGUGACAACCAUAACUUCCUGUAUGUGCAACAAUAGGGACUAACAACACCUGUGAUCUAGCUGUUUCCACACAAAGGUGUAACAGCCUGCCUGGCUCUGCAAAUUUGCAGAAUUACUGGCACGACUACCAGAGGGACGGGUCACCUACUGAAGUCUACUUUGCUAUUUCUAUGUAUGUGUUUUUUAGUCCCUCCAUAAGGUAUGUUUGUGUUUCUGCAGAGCAUAUGACUUUACUGCACUAGUAAAAGCAAAUGGAGGAAGGAGAGCUCUGUGUUCCCUUGCAGCUGUGUUUCCCAAAGCUCUGCAGCCUGCUGUUGAGAAAGCCAGCUUGGUUGCUGUUGCCUGUUUAUAAAACUCUCUGACUUGGCCCUCAUCUCUCCUAUCAUGACUGUAUCAAACGUCCCUUUGGUGGCCUGCUAUCUGCUGAGUGAUGCUCGCAUCCCACAGUUCCUGCCUAAGGCACUGACACCCACUGUCAUAACAGAAACAGUGGUCAGCCUGGCGAGUACGUGGAGAUUUCUGAAUUUGGAGCAUCUCCAACACAGUGAAAUGCAAGGUGAGAACACAGACUGGAUUUUCAACAGAAAAUUUUCAUUAGGUGCAGAUUUGCUCAGCUGCUUUGUGAUUUACCACCAGCACAGCAUAUCCUCAGACCCUACCAUGCAGCAUCUUUAAACCUACAGCAAAACAGAAGAUUCUAUUAAAGGGAAAUACUAAGGUCAAUCACCAAAAAAACGUGUAAAUACCCAAAAGCUACAUGUUUGAGAUCAUUUCUUUAAAAACAAUAUACGAUUUUGUGGAGAAUGCGCAGUUAUGAAAGAUUACAGGUGAAGAACAACACAGUGGGUUAGCACAGUCCCUGCACCCCCCAACAACAGUAAUCCUUUUUAUUAUAGCCUCCUCCUCAUGCAUGAUUGUAAGUUUGACAGGAACUUUUCCUCCACAAACUUCCUAUGAAAGAUCUGCUUCCAGUGGCCAUGGACUUGUUAGUGAAAACAAGGUGGAUUUUAUCACAGCAGAAAACCACACCAUGGCAUAGGCAGAAGUGAAUUUAGCCCUUCAAGAUCAAGUGUGAUCUUUGGCCAAAUUAUUAUAUUUAACCUCACUGUGAAAAAGAUGUCCUAAAUUAUGAAGACCCUGCUCUGCCCUUGAAUAAGCACAUCAGACACAGACCUCAGUGGGAGGAGUACCGGCUGCUUUUAUGGUCAGGAUUCAGUCGAGAGAAUUAAGCCUUUCUGAAGCAAAACUAAAUUGCAACAGCAAGUGUUGUACUGUCAUUUUAAUGACAGCAGAAGUCUAGGGUGUCUGAUGCUGAAUUGUGCAUGUAGAGAGCAGAAUGAAUUCUCAAGGUCUGAUUUGUGGAUUCUGAAUUGCAAAGUUCAGCGAUCCUUGCACUUGGCAAGCACCUGGAAUUGAAGCAUGUGCAACCAAGCUCUGUAUGUAAUUCUGUAAAAUGAGAGCUGUUUAUCUCAGCGGCUGAAAUAUUCAUUAUUGAAAAUAAGCAUUUCAGUGUUCAGAGGCGGAAUCGUGGGCUGAGAAUAAAAACGACCUGGGAAAUAGUAAAAAACUCCAUGUCUCUAAACGGCGUAGGGUAUGACCCUGCAGAAGGGCGAUGGGAGAACUCCUUCCGCCUUGGAGCUGCCUUCUGACUCUGUCUCAUCGUUUCAGCUUGGCUGCUAUUGGUGGUGGCAGAAAAAUACCGGAAGAAAUUUACAACAGUUUUGGCUGAAAGAGAGGAGGAUGAUUGAGAAAAGGGAUGAAAUUGGAAAACACCAACCUUUGCAUCUUUUCCAGAAUGUUCUAGUAACUGGCAGGCAAUAUGGGCUUUGUGUUAAAAAAGGAGCCUAUUACCACCUCUACUGAGAAAGCACCUGCCAUUUGGCCACGUUUUAUGCCUGAGAAAUCACCCCACUUCAGUGUAGCAGCGAAAUGCUCUCAGAUUCUUUCCUUGCUUUGCUUUCUUUUUGCACUCAGACUUUGCAGGCUGCAGACAGUAUUCUCAAAGGGCAGUGGAACUGGCUCCCUCAAGCCCAGGCCCCAGUAAAUGAAUUUGGGGUCACUUGGGAACUUGCUUGUCCUGUAUUUCAGUGGCUGUUUCCUGGCACUGAUUCAGCAGGUUAAGAGCCAGUUUGAAAUGCUGAAGGAACAAAAAGCAGAAAAUGGAUAUGGGGGGGAAAUUUAGAUGGGGACAAGCAUAUAGUGGAAGUUUUCCACUUUAGAUUAGAUUAUUAUGAUUAUGAUCAUUAUUAUUAUUAUUAUUAUUUAAGGAUAGAAGGCAAAGUAAAGGCAACAGGAACAAACCAUGAAGGAAAAGCAGAUAUUCAGAGGAAAGGCUGGGGCAAAGGAUAGCGUGUGAGCUGCCUGCCCCUGGCAGUGGUGCUGGGAUUGUUUGAGCUGGUGUGGUAAAAGGAGUCUGUUCUCUUUAAAAUGCUAGCCUCAGAAGCAAAGCCAAACAGCUAUUGUGCCAUCCUCUGCAGUAACAUUUUGAUGUGCAAUCUCCACAUUGAUAUGAUUAGUUGUUAAGUCAAAUAAGAGACAGCGUGACAGAAAUGUUAUUUAACUGAUUUGCCAAACUGAAUAAAGUAUAGUCUGGUCUUGUUUACAGUCAAAAUGGGAAAGUGUUUACCAGGAUAUCCAGGGGUCUCCAACAAGAGAAAAAAACAGAUCCAAAGUAAACACUUUCCAAUGCUGCCUUAGAGAAUGGUUCCCAUCUCUGGUUCUGCUACAACAUUUCUGCUACUGCUGAACAAAGUCCUUAAAUCCGGCUUCUUCCCUAUGGUUGCUUGCUGGGAACAGAACAACCAAUCGAUCAUAGCCACUGCCAAAAUCAGCAGGGAUGUGCUUCAGAGCUACGAUGCAUUACUUAGUACUGCAUACACAAAACGAAUCAGGGCCUUAGUAUCUAAAUUAAAUCCCUCUGUGCCUUAUUUCCCCUUCCACUAAAUGAGGAUAUAACAACCUCACUACACCAUGAACAUGUGAAGAUAAACUAAUCCAGGUUUGUAAAGUCAAAUUUAAGUUGUGUGUACUCACAGCAAGGGGCCAUACUCUGAAAACUGAGGAUAAAAGGAAUGUUAAGCAGAUGCUUUUUAAAUGAGUAUUGUGCAGCCUGUGCAG